CAUAAGGUUCCUGCCUUUGUAACUUACCCCCACGAUAUCAAAAUAAGCUCCAGUAGACAAAAAGGGAAGACUCAAGAGCAGCAGGUGCAGACUUAGAGCACUCCAAGCAGGCUUUGGAAGGCACAGCACAUAGAACGAUUCCUGGCCCUCCCCAGAAUAGGAAGAGACAUGAGAAGGUGGCAGAUAACUCCCUACUGAGGGGAAGAGAGGCAGCAGUGUGCAGAGGAAACAGGAUGUCCCGGGAGGUGUGCUGUCUUCCAGGUGCAAAGAUUGACGAUGUGGCGGAGAAGUUGCCAAGUGUUAUCAAGCCCACUGACCACUCCCGCUUCCUUCAGACUCAUGCGGGUACAAAUGAUACUGCCACACACAGACUUUAAUGUAUAGCAAGGGACUAUGGGAGUCUGCGCAUGGAGCUGAAGAGCCUUGGGGCACAGGUGGUCUUUUCAUCACUCCUUCCUGUUGAAGGUCGUGGCCCAGGAAGAGAGAGGGAAAUCCUGGAGGUAAACCACUGACUGUGCAGGUAGUGUUGUCAGGAAGGGUUUUGUUCCUUCGAUCAUGGUCCCCGCUUCCUUGAGGAAGGACUUUUGGCAAGAGAUGGGCUGCACCUCACAGCGGGUGGCAAGAAUGUGUUUGCUAAGAGUCUCAUGAAGGUGGUCAGGAGAGCUGUAAACUAGAACUUUAGGGGGAAGGAGACAACAUUACAGACGACAGAAGAACACAUGGAACUGGGGAUAAUAGCUACAUUGAUGCUCAGCAAGCUGAGGAGAUGUUCCAGAAACCUGCUAAAGGGCAAGAAAGUACAAGAAGGAAGCAGCUGGAGGGAAGGACCCGUGGUUUCAGUUGUCUCUACACAAAUGCACAGAGUAUGGGAACCAAGCCAGACCAAUUGCAGCUUUUAAUUCAGGAUGGCAAAUAUGACCUGGUAGCAGUGGCGAAGCUGCAUGCUCCAGCACCGGGGGCGGAGAGCAGGUGGGGGC